UCGGGAAUUUUGGGCAAUGGGCGAAAGCCUGACCCAGCGACGCCGCGUGAGGGAUGAAGGCCUUCGGGUCGUAAACCUCUGUCGGAAGGGGAGAAAGGUUCUUGGGCGAAUAGGCCAAGGGCUUGACGGUACCUUCAAAGGAAGCUCCGGCUAACUCCGUGCCAGCAGCCGCGGUAAUACGGAGGGAGCAAGCGUUGUUCGGAAUUACUGGGCGUAAAGCGCGUGUAGGCGGCCUGACAAGUCGGGUGUGAAAUCCCGGAGCUCAACUCCGGAACUGCAUCCGAUACUGUCAGGCUCGAGUCUCGGAGAGGAUGGCGGAAUUUCCGGUGUAGAGGUGAAAUUCGUAGAUAUCGGAAGGAACACCAGUGGCGAAGGCGGCCGUCUGGACGAUGACUGACGCUGAGACGCGAAAGCGUGGGGAGCAAACAGG
rnacentral:rRNA from 1 species